GACGAACGCUGGCGGCGUGCCUAAUACAUGCAAGUCGAGCGGACCAAAGGGAGCGUUGCUCCUGGAGGUUAGCGGCGAACGGGUGAGUAACACGUGGGCAACCUGCCUGUAAGGACUGGGAUAACAUCGAGAAAUCGGUGCUAAUACCGGAUAAUAAAAAGAACUGCGAUGGUUCUUUUUGAAAGAUGGUUUCGGCUAUCACUUACAGAUGGGGCCCGCGGCGCAUUAGGCUAGUUGGUGAGGUAACGGCUCACCAAGGCGACGAUGCGUAGCCGACCUGAGAGGGUGAUCGGCCACACUGGGACUGAGACACGGCCCAGACUCC
rnacentral:rRNA from 1 species